AAAUGAAAAUGAAAAGGAAGGAAGGAAAAAAAAUCAUUUUGAUCGUUCAGGAAGGAAGGAAGGAAGGGAACGUUUGUUAGUUCUGGGCCAUGUCACGAAUGCAAUUAGUGACUGAUUCGCCAAGCACUGGGAAGUCCUUCACAGUAAUAGCGAAGGGCUCUUCAAAUGUUCAAGUACUCUUCCGGUAGCGACUGCAUUUUGAUUUGCGCCCCAACGUACCGCCUUAAAGUGCAACUUCGCUUUAUUGCAAACCAAUGGGAGAGAUGGGCAUAACUUUAACGGUCUUUGCUCUUUUAUUCUUGUGAAUUUGUUAUACUUUUAACUGUUACGUUAAUGCUUGGAUCAUUCAAAAGGUGCCUAAUGCGACACCUGGUAGGUGUAAUGUUGCCGCCAUAUUCUAUUAUAAGGAUAAUUUGAUACAUAUCGUGAACGAAAAUCCUAUAGAAGUUUUGUCGAGACCCUGUGAUCCACUGAGUGAAAUUGUUCCUGUAUAUAUAUAUACAUAUAUAUGUAUAACGAUGAUAAAAUAAAUUGAAGCCUGAAAGAUUGUUGGAUAUUUUCAAACGAAGUAACAAGUUGAUUUUCAAUGAGGAUUUGAAAACUCGAUGGAUUCGGGCGAGCAGCAGUUUACUAUUGUCGAGAAGUGAUCUUAUUUAUCGUUACGUCUAAAACGUAGCUGGUAUCUGGAUGAGAGAAUCGUUGCUGCUAGGAUUUUGGUCACGUAGAAACCUGGUAACGAAGUUAAGCUGGAAGCUCCUUCCAGGGAUGGACCUUUCGUAUAACGUGUCUCGAUUCCAAGAGCCCCAUGUACAGAGAGCCCAUAGAACCAAACUCAAUAUGGUGGAGUCAAUUGGACCGCCCGUACUUUAGGGGCAUCUUCUCUCUCUUUUUCCACUCUUCUUCGAACAUAUUCGCUUGGUCGUUUUCUCCCCCUCUCCCUUUCUUCUCUCUCGACCACCCUCUUUUCUUUAUUUCGCCCUCUCGUUCACAUAAUGGAGACACAAUCGACUUUGAAACACAAUCGAUAGUUACCAAGUCCAUCGAGCAAAAAUGUUACUAUGCGUUUGCGUCCCUUUUGAAUGACACAUACACGAUCGUUCUGAUGGUUGUGGAGUUACACCCCUCUAUACGCCAUUAAGAUAUACAUAUUUACGUGGAGAAUAAUAUGGUGGUGGAAGCCAUUUUAUAUGUUCUUCUACGAAACAACCCUUAAAUAUACUAUAGGAUUCAGUAGGAAGAAAAUUCGAUCAUCGGCAUUGGAUUUUCAUCGGUCGGUCUAUCGUACCGUAGGCGGAGAACGUAUUUCUCGGAAACGAACGGUGGAGUUUAAAACGUCGAUCGUCACAUCACAUUGCCAUGGCGACGGACGUCGACGUUUUACACCCUGGCGCUCAUUUGUUUGUCAUUUCCUCGCGGCGACUCGCGGAAACAAAGGACGAGAGGCACGAAGGUAUUAAAUCACACGUGCAAAGUAACGAGAUACCUAUAUCGUGAUUCGCUUGAAGAUUCUUAACAAGAAUGAUACUAUAUCUGUCGCGAAGGUCGAGAUAUUGUCGAGAAAAGGACAGGACGUCAGCCAAGAGAAAGACGUUGAGUGUGUACGUCGACUCGUUAGCGACGAUGACUUCCACUUUUCAAAGCCGAUGCCAAGGCUUAACCACAUAUUUCCCUCUCACGGUAGCUGAGUGUCGAUUACAUAUGCCCUGGAUAUAAAUAAAGAAGGCAUAGAAACUCGUCUACGCUACAAUUUCUUCUGUCAGACGAAAUUUAUUCCAUGUGCUUCCUUCUAAAUUGACAGUCAUUGCUAGUUUUUUUUAACUAAGGUUACCAAGAAUUGGUAAGAAAGUCAAGGAACGUCCUUGAUUAUUUCAGUGAUAGUAGUCGUUGAAAUAUGGCGUGAAGUAAUUAACACUCGCAUUAUUCACGGUAGGAGGAGACGUUAGAACCCCUAUAAUACUCUUCCUCUCGUUCCGGAUAACCAAGCGAGAGACCCAUUGACUUCGUUCAUUGAUUUUACGUCAAUCUGCAAAGAGCACCCUUGCGGGCUCUUCGUGAUGCGUUUACCAUAAACGAUAAGGGCUGUACGGAGUUAGGUGUGAGGGAAGACGAAACUUAUAUUGAUGUCAAUGGUAGACCUUGCUGAUUCCUAUCGAAAACCUCGGGACACCUGUUGUGUCACCUGACGACGAAAGAUAGUUUCGGUUUCGCGUUAUCGCGGUCAGUUGAGUGAGUUUUCGUGUAAACUCGACGUAUUCGCUCGAAAAGGUUUGGGUAACGCAACCCAGACGAGACAGAGGUUAAUUUGGUACGAGCUGUAAUCCGUCUCAUCCGUCGGAUGAAAUUCCAGGACCCUACGGGAUGGACGAAUGACAGAAGGCUUUUGGAUUAUUGCCUUGCUUUAUCGAGGAUUAUAUCGAGUGUGAAGACAAAAAAUAAAAAAGGGAAGACAAAAAUUAAUCGACAUUUUUGUCCCUUUCGAACAUUAGAUCGUCAAACUUUUAAUGAAGUUGCUUACUUGCUUUUUUCUCCCAUUCAUCUUGAAUAUAUUAUAAAAAAUAUAUUAUUCGUGAGAUAUUACAAAUUUGGCCCAAACAUUUGGUGCAAUUCAAAACAAUGAUAAUGCGUUAGAUCAAUCGUGCGAAUAUUAUAAAUAUAUAUUUAUUUAUAGUUUAAUCAACGUUGGGUAGACGCUGCUAUAUCUCCAUUUGCUUUAACCGGAAUGCGAAGACGUGCAUGGGAUUGUGAUGUUACUAUUAUUCGCUUCGAUAACGUUUACGAUACGCAUAUAGUCUAGCAUAUAUCGUGUAGGCUGCUGGGAGGGGUUGGACCAGAGCGUGCCGGCAGCUCGUCGUUAAUAUAAUGGCGAAAAUGGCAAAACGGGUCGACAUCACGUAGAGCUAUAUAAAUUUAGAUCUGAUGGGAAAUGGUGAAAACGGUGAUGAUGAAAAUUCAGACAGGACGUGAGUUAACACUUUUGAAAUAUUUGAAAAUGAAGCUGAAAACUGAUGAACUCAUAACCGUCAUUCUGUUCCGUCGCCCAAGCCUUUUGGAGUUCUCCCUAAUUGACCCACGUCAGUAGCCUAUAGGAUUGGAAAUUAUAGGUCUCGAGGAAAGGAGACGAUUAUCAGUCAAAUAAAGAGAGAGAAUACAAACAAAUAUUAACGACCGGGACUUUGGCGUUAAUCGAGACGGGAAAGAAAAGCAGUUGAGAACAAUUUUGUUCUUUUUCUUUUUUUUUAUAGUCGAUUAAACUUGUCAUGCGUUUCAUUGAAAAUUAUGUUCUUUAUCAAUGAAACCAUGAUGGCCAUCUGGUGUGACAGGCAUUGCUAUAAUUUUAUUGUUAAUUAGAAUUGUGAGCAAACCGUAUGGAAAAUUUGUGUUACAAUUAACGUGUUAAAUGUAGAGUUAAAAAAAAGGUAUAUAUUUAUAA
rnacentral:lncRNA from 1 species